rnacentral:rRNA from 1 species
CCUACGGGCGGCAGCAGUGGGGGAUAUUGGACAAUGGGGGGAACCCUGAUCCAGCGACGCCGCGUGAGUGAAGAAGUAUCUCGGUAUGUAAAGCCCUGUCAGCAGGGAAGAAAGAAAUGACGGUACCUGACCAAGAAGCCUCGGCUAACUACGUGCCAGCAGCAGCGGUAAUACGUAGGGGGCAAGCGUUAUCCGGAAUUACUGGGGGUAAAGGGAGCGUAGACGGUUAAGUAAGUCUGGAGUGAAAGGCCGGGGGCCAACCCCGGGACUGCUCUGGAAACUAGUGAACUUGAGUGCAGGAGAGGUAAGCGGAAUGCGUGGUGUAGCGGUGAAAUGCGUAGAUAUUAGGAGGAACACCAGUGGCGAAGGCGGCUUACUGGAGUGUAACUGACGUUGAGGCUCGAAAGCGUGGGGAGCGAACAGGAUUAGAUACCCCUGUAGUC